rnacentral:rRNA from 1 species
UACGGAGGGUGCAAGCGUUGUUCGGAAUUACUGGGCGUAAAGGGCUCGUAGGCGGCCAACUAAGUCAGACGUGAAAUCCCUCGGCUUAACCGGGGAACUGCGUCUGAUACUGGAUGGCUUGAGAUUGGGAGAGGGAUGCGGAAUUCCAGGUGUAGCGGUGAAAUGCGUAGAUAUCUGGAGGAACACCGGUGGCGAAGGCGGCAUCCUGGACCAACACUGACGCUGAGUGAGCGAAAGCCAGGGGAGCAAACGGG